GGGGUUGUAGCUCAGCGGUAGAGUGCUCGCCUAGCACGUGUGAGGCCCUGGGUUCCAUCCUCAGCACCA
rnacentral:tRNA from 1 species